UCUGUGCGUUCUGCUGACAGAGAGGAAGAAAGAGUAUGUUGUUCCUUUCCAUUCGGUCGAUGCUAUGCUGUACUAUGAACCAAUUGAGCCUGGUUGGAGGUCUGCUAACCGAAAAGGAUGAGAGAGAUAUAAUCUCAGUUAUAUAGAGUACGGCCAGGAAGUUGGUCAAGCCUAAAACAAUGGACUGACCCUUCCAUGAGCAGCAAAGGCCUUUGGCGGUCAUGUGUUUCUCAUUAAUCUCCCAGCAUGGAGAUAAAACACAAAGGAAUCAGACAGGAGUGGUUGUGUGAUCUCCAAUCCCGGCUGUUUACCGCUUUCAUUGAAAGCUUCGUCACACGGCAUUGUAGCACAAAUAAAAACGCAUCUACAUUAAAAAAAAACCUUACUGACCAGUUUCUCAACAUUGUUAGCCUGAAAUUCGUAUCAGCUGAACUUUGACAACCUGAAGACGAUACCAUUGCGCAAAACAUUUCAUGAAGGCGAAAGAUGUGCAUUUUAAACUCUUACCGACCAAGUUACACGAUGUUGUUCCCUCCCUACAAGGAUGUGUCCUUUCAACUGUUCAAAUUAAUUUAAAAUGCUGUACAGAUUCUGGAUACAGUUUUCCAAGAUGUUAUUGAUGAGAUAUUCCAUGGCGGAUAACAAACUGGACAAUUCAAGUAUAAAUGCUAAAAAACGACUUGGCGAAAACCCCUGUAUUGAAGAGAUCGUUCUUCCUUUUGUGACAAAACACCGAUGGAGGAAAGUAACUGUUUUACAGGGUGCACCAGAAAUAACUAUCUAUAUAUAGUCAAUUCAUAGAUAAUUAAUUCUUGGACACCCUCUAUAGUAUGUGUUACUCUAUAACAUGUAAUAGUCGUUACUCUAACGCGUAAUAGACGUUACUUUAACACGUAACGAUUUUUAGCUAUUGUAAUUUUGCAAUUAUUAAGAAGUGACUUCAAAAUUCGAUCUGCUAUAUAAAAACUCGUAUAUGCAUGGCUGUGUGGUAAGAAGCUUGCUUCCAUACAGAAUAAAAUUUUUAAAAAUUGAAAGGAAGAGCCGGUGGGAGGGGCUUCUGUCCUGCACGGAGGACCCUGAGUGGCCUUCGCAUGUGGCUGCGGAGGUCUUAUGGGAUAAUGAUCUGUGCAGGAUCAUGAAUUCCUUCCCAGCGGACUCCUAUAGAUAUAUGGCUAUGUAGCCCGGCCUGGAACCGGGUAGAUGCUUCGAUGAAGCAAGGAGCCUGGUCGGACGGAAAACUUGAAGUAUUGGACGUUUGGACUCAAAAAGAGUCUACAAAAUGUAAAAAAAAAUGAGAGGUUUAUUGCCUCGUGUAUGUGACUUUUUUUGCAAUAUUGAACUAUGUACGAGGUUUAUAGCCUCAUUGUGCUUUAAAAAGAAAGAAAGAAAAAAAAGAAUUCUGAACUAUGUAAGAAGUUUAUUGCCUCAUUGUGUUUUUUAUAAAAAAGAAAAAGGAACAAUGUUUUAGAGAAGCGAAAGUCGGCGGGCGCUUUUCGUCCUUGCAUCAUUAUCAUUCAUCCCAUUAAUGUCUGUGUCCAUCCCGCAAGCUUCUCUCUGUGUGCUGCCCUUGUGGCAAAUUAAAUGAAAUAAAGUAGCUUGCUUCCGGU
rnacentral:lncRNA from 1 species